rnacentral:lncRNA from 1 species
CCCAGAGUUGAGCAACUUUAACUUAUAAAUUGAAACAAUGCAUAUACAUGGAAAUAUAUACAUAAAUCAAGAAGAUCUAACCAAAAGUAUGUUAAUGUGUGUAGAAUGCGUAAUUUGGCCUCUUGGGAUCAAUUUUUGUCUGUUAGCAGUGCCAUUCAUGUGUCCGUAGUCAUUAUUGUAAGAAUCCGGAUUUCAGUCAUAGUUUCCAAUAAAAUCCCCACUCUGAUCUGUAGUUGUACAAUAAUAUAAAUAUGUCUAAUAAUAAAAAUGGUG